rnacentral:rRNA from 1 species
GAGUUUGAUCAUGGCUCAGGAUGAACGCUGACAGAAUGCUUAACACAUGCAAGUCUACUUGAUCCUUCGGGUGAAGGUGGCGGACGGGUGAGUAACGCGUAAAGAACUUGCCUUACAGACUGGGACAACAUUUGGAAACGAAUGCUAAUACCGGAUAUUAUGAUUGGGUCGCAUGAUCUGGUUAUGAAAGCUAUAUGCGCUGUGAGAGAGCUUUGCGUCCCAUUAGUUAGUUGGUGAGGUAACGGCUCACCAAGACGAUGAUGGGUAGCCGGCCUGAGAGGGUGAACGGCCACAAGGGGACUGAGACACGGCCCUUACUCCUACGGGAGGCAGCAGUGGGGAAUAUUGGACAAUGGACCAAAAGUCUGAUCCAGCAAUUCUGUGUGCACGAUGAAGUUUUUCGGAAUGUAAAGUGCUUUCAGUUGGGAAGAAGUCAGUGACGGUACCAACAGAAGAAGCGACGGCUAAAUACGUGCCAGCAGCCGCGGUAAUACGUAUGUCGCAAGCGUUAUCCGGAUUUAUUGGGCGUAAAGCGCGUCUAGGCGGCUUAGUAAGUCUGAUGUGAAAAUGCGGGGCUCAACCCCGUAUUGCGUUGGAAACUGCUAAACUAGAGUACUGGAGAGGUAGGCGGAACUACAAGUGUAGAGGUGAAAUUCGUAGAUAUUUGUAGGAAUGCCGAUGGGGAAGCCAGCCUACUGGACAGAUACUGACGCUAAAGCGCGAAAGCGUGGGUAGCAAACAGGAUUAGAUACCCUGGUAGUCCACGCCGUAAACGAUGAUUACUAGGUGUUGGGGGUCGAACCUCAGCGCCCAAGCUAACGCGAUAAGUAAUCCGCCUGGGGAGUACGUACGCAAGUAUGAAACUCAAAGGAAUUGACGGGGACCCGCACAAGCGGUGGAGCAUGUGGUUUAAUUCGACGCAACACGAG